GAUGAACGCUGGCGGCGUGCCUAAUACAUGCAAGUCGAGCGAACAGAUAAGGAGCUUGCUCCUUUGACGUUAGCGGCGGACGGGUGAGUUACACGUGGAUAACCUACCUAUAAGACUGGGAUAAAUUCGGGAAACCGGUAUAAAACCCGGUAAAAUUUUUGAACCCCAUGUUUCAUUAUGUAAGGGCGGCUUGCCUUCCCUUAUUCACGGAUCCGCGUCGUAUUAGCUAGGUGGUAAGGUAACGGCUUACCAAGGUCACGAUACGUAGCCGACCUGAGAGGAUGAUCGGCCACACUGGAACUGAGACACGGUCCAGACUCCUACGGGAGGCAGCAGUAGGGAAUCUUCCGCAAUGGGCGAAAGCCUGACGGAGCAACGCCGCGUGAGUGAUGAAGGUCUUCGGAUCGUAAAACUCUGUUAUCAGGGAAGAACAAAUGUGUAAGUAACUGUGCACAUCUUGACGGUACCUGAUCAGAAAGCCACGGCUAACUACGUG
rnacentral:rRNA from 1 species